rnacentral:rRNA from 1 species
UACGGGGGGGGUAAGCGUUGUUCGGAAUUAUUGGGCGUAAAGGGCUCGUAGGCGGUUUGUCGCGUCGGGAGUGAAAACCAUGGGCUUAACUCAUGGCUUGCUUUCGAUACGGGCAGACUAGAGGUAUGCAGGGGAGAACGGAAUUCCUGGUGUAGCGGUGAAAUGCGCAGAUAUCAGGAGGAACACCGGUGGCGAAGGCGGUUCUCUGGGCAUGAUCUGACGCUGAGGAGCGAAAGUGUGGGGAGCGAACAGG